rnacentral:tRNA from 1 species
CAGUAGCUCAGUGGUGGAGCACUCGGCUGUUAACCGAUAGGUCGUAGGUUCGAACCCUACCUGA